CGCUUCUUUUUUACUUAUCCCGUGAUUGUCAAUUUCGUUCUUAAUUCCUCAACAAUUACGUAUGUGACUGUAUACUUCGAACAAACAGAUUCAUGGUCUUUUGGAAUAAACCUUUUAUGAAACUGAGGUAAGUCAAUAUGGCUAACCAUGAAGAAUCAAGUGCAUGGAAUUCGGGUUUACCUCACCCUAAGCUCAAUGAAAGAAUACUUUCUUCUCUGUCACGGAGAACUGUUGCUGCUCACCCCUGGCACGACUUAGAGAUUGGGCCAGGAGCUCCAUCUGUUUUCAACUGUGUGGUUGAAAUUGGAAAAGGCAGUAAGGUUAAGUAUGAGCUGGACAAGGCAAGUGGACUUAUAAAGGUUGAUCGUGUUCUUUACUCAUCAGUUGUCUACCCACACAACUACGGUUUCAUCCCAAGAACCAUUUGUGAAGACAGUGAUCCUAUGGACGUUCUGAUUCUGAUGCAGGAACCUGUGCUGCCUGGUUCCUUCCUUCGUGCUCGUGCUAUUGGACUAAUGCCCAUGAUUGACCAGGGUGAGAAGGAUGACAAGAUCAUAGCGGUUUGUGCUGAUGACCCUGAGUUCCGCCACUACACAGACAUUAAGGAGCUUCCUCCACAUAGGCUAGCCGAAAUCAGAAGAUUCUUUGAGGAAUGUAUCCUGUUAUUUGCCCUUAAAGACAUGCAUACCGUACAUAGUUAUUGUCUUAUUGACUACUAUUCACGUUGAUGAUUAGUUUUUUGCGUGUCAAAAGUUUAGUCUCCCAUAUCUUUCAAUAAUCUGUUAAAUCACUUUCUUCUAUCAAUGCUAUCGAUGCCACAUCCCCUGGUUUGCUGCAUGCAUCCUUAGCUUGCCACACUAGACAAGAAGAAUGAGAACAAAAAAGUUGAUGUUGAAGACUUUCUACCACCCGAAUCUGCCGUUGAUGCCAUCAAGUACUCCAUGGACCUGUAUGCUGCUUACAUAGUUGAGAGCUUAAGGCAGUGACUUCUUGAGAAGCAAAAUAGCCAAUUGCAGUGAUUUCUAAUGAAUUUUGUAAAUGUGAAUGAAACUCCAUAAACAUUCUGAUUUCCGUGUCAUUGUGUUAUGGCACUUGUGCCACUCGGCUCCUGGUUACAGCCACCAGUGUCUGAAUCUUCUGAUUUAAGAUACGGUUAUGCUGCCACUGAAUA